rnacentral:siRNA from 1 species
UGACCCGGGCCGUGAGUCCCUACC